CCCGGUGGCUGCCGGCCCCGCGGGGGGCUCCGGUAGCAUCGCCGCUCCUGUCGUGACCCCCCAGCCCUGGCGUCGCGGGGGGCUCCCGUAUCAUCGCCCUUCGUACCGUGACCUCCCCGGCCCUGAGCUCGCCUCAAGGCAGGCCGAGGUGCCGCCGGGAACGAAAGCCAUGACCCAUUUUCCGCGUUUUUCCGAAUAAUGCUGGCGAGAAAAUACGCCUUGUUUUGCCGAUCGGCCGGCCUGCGGUGGGCUGGGGAGCCGGUCCCUGCCGCGGAGGUUCGGGCAGGUCAGGUUUGCUUCACUGAUGGAUAUAGGGCAGAUGGAGUGCUCGGAGAAUGGUGCAGGUCAGGGGUUUGCUUCACUGAUGGAUAUAGGGCAGAUGGAGUGCUCGGAGAUUCGGGCAGGUCAGGGGUUUGUUUCGCUGAUGGAUAUAGGGCAGCUGGGGUGCUCGCAGCCUCGUCCCGGAAAAGCCCUCGAGCAUCGUUGUUCCUUUGAUGGCUGGAGCUGCAGCACCGCGCCCGGGUCUGCAGAUAGCCUCAGUGCGAGCUCUCUGAAGUACGAUGCUUCUUGGCCUUAAUUUCAGUAAUUAACAGUUUGCAGUAAUCGAUAAUUAUCGAAGUUAUCCGCUGCCUUUUCCCUUCGGGAGGCUGGUACAGCCGAAUGCCCCGGUGUGCCGGGGCAGCGUGUCCAGCCCUGCGGGCGGGCAGCGCCGGGGACACGCCGAGCGUUCGCCACCGGGACUGGAGUGGCAGCCAAGGCACGAGUGCCUUCCCCUGCCUAGGAAAAAACUUAAGACUGCUGGAAAUGCUGGUUUAGGUGCAGAACCGAGGGAACUGGGAAGUCUGCGAGUCACAGGUGCUUAGAGAUCUGCAAAUUGUCAUAGCCGGGGUCCCUCCUCUGCGGGAGGCUUUGGUUCGCAGGAGGCUGCAGAUGGAUCCCUUCUCCUGCCGUUCAUUAACCUGGAUUUCUCCGUGAGACUUUAUAGCUUUCGGUGGAUCUUUGCAGCCAGUGGCUUACUAAGGUGCUUUGUGACCCCCGUGGCAGGUGAAGGCUCCUGCCUGCCUUUCUAGAGGCUUCUGCUAACACAGUCUAUCAGAUGAACAGCAUGACCUACAUCUUUCCUGUCCAUGUUCUUCCAGUGCUCUUGAAGAAACUUCAGACCUAGGUGGCAUUACAGCUGCCUCCCUCCCCUCAAUAUCUUUCAGUUCAAACAGUUUGGACAGCUCAGGUUUCUUACUAAAUAUCUAACAGAGCAACUAAGUUUCUGUUUCUGCCCUUGAAGAAGUUGUUUCUACCUCAAAGCCAUUUUGCAGUUGCGCAAAUAACAUGCCAUGCACCUAAGACUCUGCGUUUCCACCCAAAGUCUUUCUGUUGCAGGGAGGCCAAAUGAGUUUUGAUUCUCAGUAAAAUUCAGUUUGAUGGAAAUCCUGAAAAUGCUUGUAACAAGUUAUUUCAUUUGGUUUUUCAGUUAACCUCUAUUUGCCUUUGAAAGGUCCACUGAUGGUUCAGUGGACACUUUAUUUUUCAAUAUUAAAUGAUUUUUUUUAAUCCUUUCUCUAAUGUUAAAAUUACUGAAUCUGCAAAAUAAGGAAAUAGAAUGAGUCAGUUGAUGGGUGGAUUAAGGAAAGAUACAAGAAAA